rnacentral:rRNA from 1 species
UACGGAGGGUGCAAGCGUUAUCCGGAUUCACUGGGUUUAAAGGGUGCGUAGGUGGGUUGGUAAGUCAGUGGUGAAAUCCCCGAGCUUAACUUGGGAACUGCCAUUGAUACUAUUAAUCUUGAAUACCGUGGAGGUUAGCGGAAUAUGUCAUGUAGCGGUGAAAUGCUUAGAUAUGACAUAGAACACCAAUUGCGAAGGCAGCUGGCUACAUGAAUAUUGACACUGAUGCACGAAAGCGUGGGGAUCAAACAGG